AAUGCUAGCUAAAAUAUGUAAAAAGGUGCACAAAGUAAACAAGAGAGGGGGAGGUACCAACUCCCGGUGGAAAAACCUGAAAGUAUGCUUUGAUGCGCCUAAGUUUUCCUGAAGCUUCGUGUAGUCCUAUUGCGUCUUGCCGCGAGUCUGGACGGGAGUCACCGGGAGUACUGUGGCUUGCCGGAAAUCCUCGCCGGUAAAAUAGUCACCUGUCCAAGAAAACAGAACACAACCACACACACCCACAAAAAAGCAGAG
rnacentral:lncRNA from 1 species